rnacentral:snRNA from 1 species
GCUUCUCAAGAGCUGUUGG